CCUACGGGGAGCAGCAGUAGGGAAUUUUUCACAAUGGGUGAAAGCCUGAUGGAGCAACGCCGCGUGCAGGAUGAAGGCCUUCGGGUUGUAAACUGCUUUUAUAAGCGAGAAAUAUGAUGGUAACUUAUGAAUAAGGAUCGGCUAACUACGUGCCAGCAGCCGCGGUCAUACGUAGGAUCCGAGCAUUAUCCGGAGUGACUGGGUGUAAAGAGUUGCGUAGGUGGCAUAAUAAGUAGCUAGUGAAAUCUGGUGGCUCAACCAUUCAGACUAUUAGCUAAACUGUUAAGCUCGAGACCGUUAGGGGUAACUGGAAUUUCUAGUGUAGGAGUGAAAUCCGUAGAUAUUAGAAGGAACACCAAUAGCGUAGGCAGGUUGCUGGGACGGUUCUGACACUAAGGCACGAAAGCGUAGGGAGCAAACGGGAUUAGAUACCCUGGUAGUC
rnacentral:rRNA from 1 species